rnacentral:lncRNA from 1 species
GAUGAUUAGAAGCUAACAAGAACCAUCAUUAGAGCACCAGACAGAACGCGUGGGUGGAGGAACUUAAAUGCCCAGAGGCCUGACCUUUCUUCCCCAUCAUAGACCUUGUCGUUCUUUAAAUCAGGAGGAAUUGGUGAAUUUUCAGCACAAUCGUCACCAAGGAUGAAGAGUAACAAUUUUCUGCCUAGAAAUCCAAUGGGGUUGGAGCCCAGAAAACCAUAGAGACAUGGAGUUGUCAGCCUUUCGAUUUCCUGUGGCCGAGAAAAGAGAAUCAACAGCCUCCAAUCUCCUGUGACAAUCUCACAGCAAAUGCUUCCGUGAGUGCUUCUUCAGGUUUGAUUGAAGCCAUGGUAAAAAGGAGUGAGAGUUACUGGGGAGUAUGGCUGCCUACAUAUUUUAGGCUGCUGCAUGUUUUACAGUAUAGAGAGAUGAUAAAAAACUGUAUGCUCUCUAAAGAGGGAUCCUUAGGGUAACCAACCAUCCUGACUUGCCUGGGACUGCCUUAGUUUUAGCUCUGAAAAUCUUCCAUCCCAAGAGAGUCCCCAGUCCUAUACAAACUGGCACAGCUGCCAUCCUGUGUUGGUUUGAAGCUUGUUGACCGAUGAUUACAAUUGUACUGACACUGUACCAUCCGACAGUGUGACUCACCGCCUCAGUGGAAUUUACUCAACAUCUCUGGGUUUCCCUUCCCUCCUGUAUAACCCACCACCAGUAGGAAGGUAGAAGUGCUUUGUGGUAGUUCUGUGUUUUCACUGGGUUGGACUCAGAGCCAGCUUCAACUACAACAGUACCAAGACAGGAGCACAGAGGGAGCUGGUGAGAAAUAAAACUCUAAGAACCAGGAUGGUAGUCCUUGGCCUCCAGCAGUGAUGACAGCCUUUUGUCUCUUCUAAGUGAGGAAGACCCUGAACAGGGGACCUAGAAGCUGAGGUGCUUUCAGGAAGCAGGAAAAGAUAGACAUCUGUAAGAGUGCUCUACCUUUGGAACGGAGAAAGGCUUACCGACGCAGCCUGUCAAGUGUAAAGAAGUUGCUGUUGUUCCAGAAAAAGGUGUUGGCAAUUAUCUAACAACUCCCAUUUUAAUUUUUUGCAUUGUCCCUCUCUUGUUGGAGGUAGUUUCUGGCUUUGUUUAAAUCUGUAAAGUUGGUUAUAUUAUCUGAAUAAUUGCACUCUGAGAUCCAUAUGUUCCAACUGAUUUGAUACCUCCUGCUUCUGAGUAUAGUCUAUGGAUAAGACACUUCAUUGUUGGUUUUGUUUUAUCUUUUUUUUUUUUUACAUCUUUCUACAAUUUUAUAGCCAUAAAACUAUUCAAAGAAACAUAUUCUUCCCAAUGUAACAUCAGGAACCAGAAAUACCUCUCUUCUAAUGAUAAUGGUCUCUGAUGGUUCUGUGCCCCAAAAUCUGUAGAGUAACAUUUUAGAACAGUGUCAAAAGAAGCUGUGCUAUAUGCUCCAUAAACAGUUAACCCAGGUAAGUGUAAGCCAUUAAACAAAAGGCUCUGUCAGGGGUGAAGUCUAGGAGGAUUCACGGAAGGAAAAUAUUGGGUCUUACCAGCCAAGGCCAAGAGAUUUUCUAGAGCAAUGAAGCACAAAUCAGAGGAACUAAAUUAAGACCUUUAAACUGUACCAGAGGCAAGGGAUGAAAGAGAACAGAAAUAAAAUGCUACCACGACUGUGAGAACAUACUAAAAGACCUUCAACUGUAGUAAUUAAAUAGGAGCAAUGUUUUGUGCUCGUCCUGUGUGCCAAGACUGAAUUAGCUGUUCUCCUUGCACAUACUUUGUAAGACCAGUGUUAAGACCCACAUGAAGUAUGGAAAAGAUAACAAAUGUGUUGAAGGCUACGUAGCUAUUAAAAAACUGUUGAGCUUCAAACCCUACUUUGUUUCCAAAGUAUGGUGGUGUGUCUCUGUAUUGUGUGUAACAUUACGAAUAUAAAUAUUCACAAAUAAAGAUUAACUUUUCAAAACUUUGUUCAC